rnacentral:lncRNA from 1 species
UAACAUAAUCAAGCAUCAUAUAAUUUAACUAGAUGAGCUCAUCAUUUAACAUCUCAUUUACACAACCAUCUCGUGUUAGUCUCGUUGAGUUUCUAGGAAAUCUCGAUGGAAUACCCAUUAACCGUCAAUUCAUACGAAUGAUCAUUUCAUAUAUGCACUCCCGCGAACCUCACAUCUUAUGGCGGGAUUACCAGUCCAAGCUAAAUCACCAUUUAUGAACUUAUAAGGUGAUGUCGG